AGAGUUUGAUCAUGGCUCAGGAUGAACGCUGGCGGCGUGCCUAAGACAUGCAAGUCGAGGGGGUUUAGACCCCCGGCGAACGGGUGAGUAACACGUGGGAAUUUCCAUUAAGUUGAGGAUAUCCUCCCGAAAGGGAGAGCAAUACUCGAUGUGGUCGCAAGACUAAAGUCGCAAGACGCUUAAUGCAAGGCCCGCGGCCCAUCAGCUAGUUGGUAGGGUAAUGGCCUACCAAGGCGAUGACGGGUAGGGGUAGCGAGAGCUUACACCCCCACACUGGGACUGCGACACGGCCCAGACUCCUACGGGAGGCAGCAGUUUGGAAUUUUGGACAAUGGGCGAAAGCCUGAUCCAGCGACGCCGCGUGCACGAAGAAGGCCUUCGGGUUGUAAAGUGCUUUUGGUGGGGAAAAAUUUUGAUUGUACCCACAGAAUAAGAGGUUGCUAACUCUGUGCCAGCAGCAGCGGUAAUACAGAGACCUCAAGCGUUAUCCGGAAUCAUUGGGCGUAAAGCGUACCGAUAGGUGGUCAUGAUAGUUUUGGGUAAAAGCCAGAAGCUCAACUUCUGCGUUUGCUCAAAAUACUUCACGACUAGAGGGGCAAAGAGGAAGCUGGAACGAACGGUGUAGUAGUGAAAUGCGUUGAUAUCGUUCGGAAACACGAAUGCGUAGGCAGGCUUCUGG
rnacentral:rRNA from 1 species